rnacentral:rRNA from 1 species
UACGUAGGGGGCAAGCGUUGUCCGGAAUCAUUGGGCGUAAAGAGCGUGUAGGCGGCCCGGUCAGUCCGCCGUGAAAGUCCAGGGCUCAACCCUGGAAUGCCGGUGGAUACUGCCUGGCUGGAGUCCGGAAGAGGCGAGUGGAAUUCCUGGUGUAGCGGUGAAAUGCGCAGAUAUCAGGAGGAACACCAAUGGCGAAGGCAGCUCGCUGGGACGGUACUGACGCUGAGACGCGAAAGCGUGGGGAGCAAACAGG